GCACUUCGCUAGGGGUGUUGUACCGCGCAAGCGGUGCGACUGAGACAGUCCCUUUGAACCUGAUUGAGGUAAUCCUCGCGCAGGGAAGCAGCCUGAUUCGGCC
rnacentral:ncRNA from 2 species